AUGGCGGCUGGUACCCUGUACACAUACCCUGAAAACUGGAGGGCCUUCAAGGCCCUCAUCGCUGCUCAGUACAGCGGGGCUGAGGUCCGCGUGCUCUCCGCACCACCCCACUUCCACUUCGGCCAAACCAACCGCACCCCCGAAUUUCUCAGAAAAUUUCCUGCAGGCAAGGUUCCAGCCUUUGAGGGCGAUAACGGAUUCUGUGUAUUUGAGAGCAAUGCCAUCGCCUAUUACGUAAGCAACGAGGAGCUGCGGGGAAGUACGCCAGAGGCAGCAGCACAGAUUGUGCAGUGGGUGAGCUUUGCUGACAGUGAUGUCGUCCCUCCAGCCAGCACCUGGGUGUUCCCCACCUUAGGCAUUGUGCACCACAACAAGCAGGCCACUGAAAAAUGCCAAAGAGGAGGUAAAGCGAAUCUUGGGGCUGCUGAACACUCAUCUGAAGACACGGACUUUUCUUGGUCGGUGACAGAGUGACACUGGCUGACGUCACGGUUGUCUGUACCCUAUUGUGGCUCUAUAAACAGGUCUUAGAGCCUUCUUUUCGCCAGGCCUUCCCCAAUACCAACCGAUGGUUCCUUACCUGCAUUAACCAGCCCCAGUUCAGGGCCAUCUUGGGGGAGGUGAAGCUGUGAGAUGGCUCGGUUUGAUGCUAAGAAGUUCGCAGAGAGCCAGCCAGAAAAGGAUACCCCGAGGAAAGAAAGGGGCUCACGAGAGGAGAAGCAGAAGCCCCAGACUGAGCGGAAAGAGGAAAAAAAGGCAGCUGCCCGAGCUCCUGAGAAAGAGAUGGAUGGGUGUGAGCAGGCAUUGGCUGCUGAGCCCAAGGCCAAGGACAUGAGGACACCCUCUCUGUGGCGCUGCCAUAUUUUUGGGAGCACUUUGAUAAGGAUGGCUGGUCCCUGUGGUAUGCUGAGUACCGCUUCCCUGAAGAGCUCACCCAGACCUUCAUGAGCUGUAACCUCAUCACUGGAAUGUUCCAGCGAUUGGACAAACUAAGAAAGAAUGCCUUUGCUAGUGUUAUCCUAUUUGGGACCACCAACAGCAGCUCCAUUUCUGGGGUUUGUGUCUUCCGAGGCCAAGAUCUUGCCUUUCCGCUGAGUCCAGAUUGGCAGGUGGACUAUGAGUCAUAUACAUGGUGGAAACUGGAUCCUGGUAGCAAGGAGACCCAGACCCUCGUUCGAGAGUACUUUUCCUGGGAGGGGGCCUUCCAGCACGUGGGCAAAGCUGUCAAUCAAGGCAAGAUCUUCAAGUGAACAUGUCUUGCCAGUCGCCUAGCUGCCUGCACCUGCCCUUCAAGGGAGAUGGGGGUCAUUAAAGGAAACUGAACAUUGGAAAAAAAA